GUAAAGUAGAGGUAGGACAUCACAUGUGU
rnacentral:piRNA from 1 species